rnacentral:rRNA from 1 species
CCCUAUGGGGUGCAGCAGGCGAGAAACCUUUGCAAUGUGCGCAAGCACGACAAGGUUAAUCCGAGUGUUUCCUGCUAAAGGAAUCUUUUGUUAGUUGUAAAACCACUGAUGAAUAAGGGGUGGGCAAGUUCUGGUGUCAGCCGCCGCGGUAAAACCAGCACCUCAAGUGGUCAGGAUGAUUAUUGGGCCUAAAGCAUCCGUAGCCUGUUCUGUAAGUUUCCGGUUAAAUCCAUUAGCUCAACUAAUGGGCUGCCGAAAAUACUGCAAAACUAGGGAGUGGGAGAGGUAGACGGUACUCGGUAGGAAGGGGUAAAAUCCUUUGAUCUAUUGAUGACCACCUGUGGCGAAGGCGGUCUACCAGAACACGUUCGACGGUGAGGGAUGAAAGCUGGGGGAGCAAACCGGAUUAGAUACCCGGGUAGUCCCAGCUGUAAACGAUGCAGACUCGGUGAUGCCCUGGCUUGUGGCCAGUGCAGUGCCGCAGGGAAGCCGUUAAGUUUGCCGCCUGGGAAGUACGUACGCAAGUAUGAAACUUAAAGGAAUUGGCGGGGGAGCACCACAAGGGGUGAAGCCUGCGGUUCAAUUGGAGUCAACGCCAGAAAUCUUACCCGAAGAGACAGCAGAAUGAAGGUCAAGCUGGAGACUUUACCAGACAAGCUGAGAAGUGGUGCAUGGCC